CCUACGGGAUGCAGCAGUGAGGAAUAUUGGUCAAUGGACGAGAGUCUGAACCAGCCAAGUAGCGUGAAGGAUGACUGCCCUAUGGGUUGUCAACUUCUUUUAUAUGGGAAUAAAAUGUUCCACGUGUGGGAUUUUUUAUGUACCAUAUGAAUACGGAUCGGCUAACUCCGUGCCAGCAGCCGCGGUAAUACGGAGGAUCCGCGCGUUCUCCGGAUUUAUUGGGUUUAAAGGGCGCGUAGGUGGAUUGUUAAGUCAGUUGUGAAAGUUUGCGGCUCAACCGUAAAAUUGCAGUUGAAACUGGCAGUCUUGAGUACAGUAGAGGUGAGCGGAAUUCGUGGUGUAGCGGUGAAAUGCUUAGAGAUCACGAAGAACUCCGAUUGCGAAGGCAGUUCACUGGACUGCAACUGACACUGAGGCUCGAAAGUGUGGGUAUCAAACAGGAUUAGAUACCCCGGUAGUC
rnacentral:rRNA from 1 species